rnacentral:rRNA from 1 species
CCUACUUGUAACGGAACGAUUGGACGAAGACGGCAUCGAAAAAGUGAAUGAACUACUUUCCCCUCGUCUCGUCUCUCGCUCUCACCUAACCCUCUCGUUCUUCCUCAUCCCGAUCCCCUUCUCCUCUCUUCCCAAAUCCUCUAGAUCGGGGCGUGACAGGGUCAAACCCCAUCGGCGUAUGGCCACGGGCGCGAGGAGCACCGCGGUGGGCGCAUCCGGCGGCGCAGCGGCCGCGUCCAGAGGCAUGGUGACCUCCACGCGCGCCCCUCCCAGCGCCAUGGUGGCCGCGUCCAUCCUUGCGGAUGAGGAUGAGGCGAAGGAAAAAGAAGACGAGGCUCAUCUCACCGGCGGACAGCGAGAUGUACAUGUUGGGCGGAGUUGAAGAUCGCCGGAGUUGCUGUCUAGUCCGUGCCGGGAACGGUGUCGUCAGCCUUGAUUUCUUUUCCUUGAGGCCUUUUCGCUCUCGGCGGAGCAAAGUGCAUGAUAACGUGUUAGAAGAAAUCGAGAGACAACAAGAGACAAACAAAAUGAUUCAACUCUCUUCUUUGUUGAUGAUACAAUUACACAAUAUAUAGGUCCCGAAGGGACGUGAUGGCACGGAGGGGACGCAAGUAGCCUCGGUUAGCGAGACCAAAGGAAGGGUCGCGCCAAUCGCCAACAGGCGGUAGUUAGCAAGGGGAGAUUCCCUUCCAAUUAAACAUUUGUUUAAUUGUAACAGGUUUAUGGGAAAAAUCACAUCCGAAUCGGUCGGCGAACCGAUAUAGGCAAUACAAUCCGAAUCGCGCGUUCCGGACAGUUUAAGGGUUGGGCGUUGUAGAUGUCCUUACACCUUUGAUCUGAAUGACAUAGCACAGCCUCACGGAAAUUGGGUUCGGGCGUUCGGCAAUACAUACCAUAGCAGAGCCUAAAGAAACCUUUUAUCUACACGAGGCUCGGCCAACACCAUUUCGGAGUUUUCGGUUUCUUUGAUGAAAUGGGGAGGUACGCUCUUUCUGCCAAAGAAACCAUAUUGAAAUAUCAUCACAAAAAGUCCCCCACAUAUACAGUAAGGUGCAAAUUUAUGAUUAAAAACUUACAUGAUCACUCAACUAAGCAAAACUGCAAGAGCGUGACUCGGGUGUUUAGGCAAAGCCUCACGAAUCCGAAUAGGCUGGACAGACUUUUCCUCUACAUGUACAACUAGGAAACGGGAUUACCCCUGUCCAUUGGGUGUGCAUCUGAGCCCAGGCUCAGAAAUGGAUAUUAGCAUUUGAGUUGACUACUAUGUAAGAUGACAGGUUGUAUUGUCUUCCGAAAUGAAAAAC